UACGAAGGGGGCUAGCGUUGCUCGGAAUCACUGGGCGUAAAGCGCACGUAGGCGGCUUUCUAAGUCAGGGGUGAAAUCCUGGAGCUCAACUCCAGAACUGCCUUUGAUACUGGAAAGCUUGAGUCCGGGAGAGGUGAGUGGAACUGCGAGUGUAGAGGUGAAAUUCGUAGAUAUUCGCAAGAACACCAGUGGCGAAGGCGGCUCACUGGCCCGGUACUGACGCUGAGGUGCGAAAGCGUGGGUAGCAAACAGG
rnacentral:rRNA from 1 species